CAAUCGGGCAACGGAAGGAGAUCAUUCACGAUUUCGUAGUCAUACGUCUUCCUUAAACGCCGCCGUCGCGUUCGUCUUCUUCGCAGCGCUAAAACUCUCUUGGGGGAGUUUCACUGUUUUUUUCCUCUGGAAACCUUAGUUGGCGGACAAUGGCGAGCCUCGUGCAUACGUUAACCAAAAACAGAGCCACUUUUAGCAUCGGUACGGCACUCGAAGCUCAUCUUCUACCGAAACCCGGACGUUCUCUUCGCUCCCAACGCUUUCAAACCGGAGCUAACAGAAAACCAGAUUUCUCUUUUGGCUACUACUAGUAGCGGAGGAGACAAGGAUGAAGAAGCUUCUAGGUGCUUUCCCCAAUUUUCCAUUUGGGUAUUGCUUGAAUCCUGUUUCUGCGACUUGGGCUGAGAAUUUGGGUGUGCCCGAGAGAGAGGAGGUGGCAUCCAAUGAUGAUGCCCGGACGGUUUGGGCUGAUAGUUCGAAGAAGAAGAGGAAGAGGAAGAUGAACAAUCAUACGUAUAAGAAGCUUGGGAAGCGUCUUCGUCGAAAGGCGAGAGCUUGAUGCUGUUGUCGUGGAGGAAUAAAAUUUGGGGGUGAUGUUUAUCAUAGAGAAGUUUCACUUAUAGAAGUCAAUCUCUCCUGAGUUUGCUUCCAACAAUUGAACCUAAUGUGCUGAAACAACUUUCACAUGGGACACAGGUGAGAUGAAAGACGAUGAAGAAUAUAGAAAUCUGAUACGCAUCUUUGAAAGCAGCCACCUAGACAACUCGAAGGUUAUCAGGGCAUUGCUUUCUCCUAAAAACGAAAGUAAAGUACUAGUGAUUGGUAAUGACAUGGAAAAGAGACCAGUGUCAAUUGACGUACUAAGAAGAAAGCAUGUGCUACUGAUAAUAUCGGAUCUCAAUCUCCCCUCUAAAGAAAUUGAAGUGGUUGUCAAUGUGUAUGGGAUGAGGCAUGAUAUUCAAUGUGAAAUGGUCUGGAUCCCUGUUGUGGGCAAGCUAAACGGUUGGCAGGAACAAAAUCAAUACAAAUUUGCUGAGUUGCAGGCAGUGAUGCCAUGGUACACCGUGACCACCCCUCUGGUAAUCGAACCGACGGUGAUCAGGUAUAUCAAAGAGUACUGGAAUUUUGAUAAGAAACGAUUCUAGUGGCAUUGGAUCCACUAGGAAAGGUAUCCUCCAAAAAUGCAUACCAUAUGGUUUGGAUUUGGGGCAAUUCGGCCUUUCCUUUCAGUGAUGAGAAAGAGCAAGCAAUCUGGAGGGCAGAGAGAUGGAGACUUGAGCUACUUGUUGAUGGAAUUGAAGAAGAUAUACUAGAAUGGAUAAAAGAAAAUAUAUACAUAUGUGUGUACGGAGGUGAUAAUACUGACUGGAUCAGGGAUUUCACAACCAAAGCAAAAAAUGUUGCAAAAGCUCUUUAACAUAACCAUAGAAUUGAUUUAUGCUGGAAAAAGCAACACUUCCAAGAAGAGGUUUGAGAGAAUAUAUGAAGUUAUUGAGGAGGAAAAACUUAGUCUCUUCUGGCCUGAUUACACAUCCACCUGGUUCUUCUGGACCCGGCUAGAGAGCAUGCAGAUCUCAAAGACUAGACAUGGCAAGACUGUUGAGAACGAUCAGAUUAUGAAGGAAAUCCAGACCAUACUUGGCUAUGAUGGCAGUGACCAAGGAUGGAUGAUGCUCUGCAGAGGAGCAGCUGAGAUGGCCAGAGCCACUGGAAAGUUGGCUGUUUCGACCCUCAAUGAAUUUAAUUCUUGGCAAAUUAAAGCUUUGGAGUUGGGUUUGGUGCCUGCAAUUGUUGAUGAACUGAAAAGACGUCGCACCAGAGAACACUGCAAUCACCUGGUCAUGCCAGGGAAUUUGGAUGUCUCCGGGACGGUGAUCUGCGCAGAUUGUAGCCGCGAAAUGGAGAAGUAUUUCUUUUACCGCAAUGACACUUAAUAAAAAAGCUAGUAUAAGCAGGAUUUGUGCGUCAGUGCUUGUUUGUUGUGAAGGUUCAUCUGUUAUGUUGCUUUGGUUUUUAAUAUUUGUGUGAUUUUCUUCCACAAGAGCUAGGCUUGCUACUUAAUAUAACAUCUUAAAAAAACAUGCUAGUAUGAUAGAAACAGAGAUCCCACAAUGGAAGAGAAACACUAUGUAUUUGUCAAUUGUGUCUGACAGUGAAGCCUUUUACAUGGUGAAGGUAUUAGUAAUGAGGUGCAUUGAAAAUUUGCACAACCAGGCUGAUGACAAAACAAAUUUAAGAGCAAUAACAAUAGAACAGGAGUAAAAGAAAACCAAUAAACCUUUUUUGUUCUUUGAAACUACAAAUGCCUACAUGAAUAUAUAUUUGCAGCAAUGC